CACACACAAAAACAAAAAUGAAACAAAAAAAAUCUGCCAAUCAAAAUGAUUUAUGGGAUUUUUUUUUUUUUAAAUAAGAGGCCAAAUGCCAGCCUACUGAUUUUGUUUGGGUGUUUGUUUUUUUUCCUGUUAUUUUAGGAAAAGAAUCAGGUGCUGCUGCUGCUGCUAAGUUGCUUCAGUUGUGUCUGACUCUGUGCGACCCCAUAGACGGCAGCCCACCAGGCUCCCCCGUCCCUGGGAUUCUCCAGGUGGUAUUGCUGAACUGAACUUGGCUGAACAGAUGGAUUCCAUUCUUCCACCACACAGCAAAGCCAGUCUAAUGACACCAGAUUGUUUUGAAGAACAGGCAGCCAGUGCUCAAAACACCCAGACACUCCAAUGGCUUCCAGGGAAAGGACCAUUUAUUGAAGAGUCUGCUGCUGCUAAGUCACUUCAGUCGUGUCCGACUUUGUGCGACCCCAGAGACGGCAACCCACCAGGCUCCCCUGUCCCUAGGAUUCUCCAGGCAAGAACAGUGGAGUGGUAUGCUAUUUCCCUCUCCAAUGCAUGAAAGUGAAAAGUGAAAGUGAAGUCACUCAGUCGUGUCCGACUCCUAGCUACCCCAUGGAUUGCAGCCUACCAGGCUCCUCCGCCCAUGGGAUUUGCCAGGCAAGAGUACUGGAGUGGGAUGCCACCUUUCCUCAAUUGUAUAGUCUUGUUUCCUUUGUCAAAGAUUAAUUGACCAUGCAUGUGUGGGUUUAUUUCUGGGCUAUCCUGUUUUAUUGAUCUAUAUUUCUAUUUUUGUGCCAAUUUCACACUGUCUUGUUUACUGUAGCUUUGUAGUGUAGUCUGAGGUCAGGGAACCUGAUUCC
ensembl:lncRNA